UUGAAAAUUCGAAUGCAAAUUUGGGGAGGGAAUCUGCUUUAGUUUAAAACAAAGGUAAGUUUUUAUCAUAAUUUAUAAAUAGGAUUGAAAGAUAAAUUGAGAAUCUUUUUUUUUUAGUAGUAAAUCAAUAUUAAUAAUUAAGAAUUAAUUUGUUGGUUUUGUAGGUUUUAAUUGGAAAAAUUAGGUUAUUUUUACCUUUCUAAAUCUGUUCUUGUUAGAUUGAAAUCAUAUAAAAUCAAUGCUUACAUCUAAUAGUCUUAAAUUUUGACAUCAAGGUUAUCCUAUUUGAGGUAUCCAAUUUAUUAAUUAGAUUGGAUUUUAUAUUUUAUUAAAGAUUUCAUUUGAACUAUUUCGAAUGCGACACCAGCUUGUUGAUAGGAUUCAUUUGACAUUUGACAAAGCCCUACAAUGUGAUAUAUGUUAACACUCUAAUCACCAUGUCCAUUUAGAGGACCUUCCUUAUGAUAGGAAUAUAGGAUUCAUUUGACAAAGCCCUACAAUGUGGUCUGUUCCCUGCAUCUUCAUUUACAAGACCAAGUGACUUUUUUUCGUCUUAGAGGACUAUGGAAGAUAAAGAAUUGAAAGUAUUGCACCUCUGUUAGUUUACCACAAAUUCAAGCCAUUGCAUAAGGUGGUGUUAGUCUGUUAGAUGUUGUUUUAAAUCUUAGCAGAAGCUGCAAUCUUCAGUGAACUUACCUCAAGGUAUUUGCAGAGAUAAUGACAUUCUUCAACCAUAAACAAUUUACAUAGACUCGUGAAAAAAAUCUAUUUUUUUGUUUGACAAACUGUUUAACAAAAUCUUUAAUAGAGCACAAGAAACUGUGUUCUUACAUUUUCCUUGUUUCUGCGCGCAGGCAGCUUCAUCUAAUCAUUAUGUUUGCUGAAGCUCUUCUAAGUUCUAACUGCACUAGCAGAGCUAUCCACUAAAUGAUUUGACGCCUGAGUAUAGAAGUACCACUAAAUAAUGAAAGUGACCUUGCUAUUCUGCUAAAUGGUAACCAUUCUAGUAAUCUAUCUAACAUCUAUUUUCAUUUGCUGUUUUUUUCAUUGAGAAUCGAGAUAUAUACCAUGCCAUCCUUGUUUGAUAUUAUGCUUGUGUUCUGUAUAGAUGCCAACCCUUAUUAGAUGGAAUAGGUAUUGUAAAUGGGAUGCCAAAUUAGAUCCUAACCAGCCUUUUGAAUUCGACUGAGCUAACAACAGCUGAGUCAAGCAAAGUGUAGAGGGGUCGAUUGAUAGGCAGCCAUAGAUCAUGGUAUAAAUCACCUGUUGUUCCUUCAAAAUGUAUCACCUCUCUUGCUACACAUUUGUCAGGGAAAUCGAAAGCACCCUUGAAGAUAACGUUGCAUAGCUGUGUCAAAAUCUGACUAUAAGUCUACAUGGAGAUACCUCCCAGGUUUUUUACUAGUGGAAACCAUACCAUCUUUCAGUCGUAGGGGUUUUUGUCAGCGUGACUUAGGUUGUCAUUUCUCAGGGGAGUGCAGUAGCCUGCUAACACUCAAAUUUCCAUACAGAUAUCUGAACAUUGGUUCUGGAUGUUUAUGAAUCAUGUUUAAACAUACUUGCACUCACAUUUAGAUGAUGAAGAUAGGGUCACUUUUGUAUUGUAUUGAGAUGAAUCAUGUUGUGAAUUUGCUAAAGUUAGGAGUCAUGCCAGUUGAUGUCCUCAGGAAUUCGAAAUACAGCUUGAGAAUUGAUUUGUGUGAACCACAUCUGAGAUCUAUAGAAGAUUGGUUGAUAACUGGAUACCUUUACACUACCUGCCUUGUGAGCUAGUUUGACUAUAACGUCCCAAAUAUGCGUUGUCCAGAAUGUUAUCUACCUGAAAGUUUUACCAUGUUAUCUUCAUAAAAUAAGAUGUUGGCAUGAAUAUACUGGUGCAUAUAGGGCAGGUCUUACCCUGUGAAGCUUCGAAACCAUUCACAUCAAAUUGCAUGUUAUGGUAAUCCACUAGAUCUAGAGACCCUCUCUUCUUUGUUCACAAUGAAAUUUUCAUCCAAGUUACCUCCUAGUUCAGAACAUAGAGCCUGGGAUGUCCUUUAUUGCCUACCAAGUACCAAGUAGAUGAUUCUGAUAGGCUUCCUAAUGUGCGCAAAUAAAAGUAUUGAGCUUCUCAUUGAAGAUUAAAUUAUUAUCAUGUCUGCCUGCUUCGUGCUGGUCCCUUAACAGAUUUGGUUCUCAGUAUGUAUUCUACUGCAUAUCCAGUUUACUCUGAACUUGCAUACUCUUCAUUGAAGUUUUAUUGGAGGGAUAUUGACAACAAUCCCACUAUCUAAGUGCAGACUGUGUGGUGGAGUACCUUAAAACAUUUGAAACCAUUCUUUUGAAGGAAACAAAAGUGAACAACAACUUGUGAGAUUUAUAAUUGAAUGUGAAGGGCUUAUUUGAAAUUGCUUUUUUCAUAGGAGAUGAGGGUUAACUACAACUUAUGGGAUAUCUACUCGAAGGGUGGCUUGUUAAAAAUGAAUAUCAUCUUUUCACAGUGUAGGACAAUUGAUGCAGCUAGCAAUAUGAGUAUUAUGAGAAGUUAGUGACGAUCACCAGAUUGUCUCCCAUGCAGUGUUAUUAAUUCCUUAAAGUUUUUGAAUGAUCUUGAGUAUGUGCGCUUCCAGAAUUAUGUUAGUUAAUGUACUCAUCAAAUGGGGAAAAAAAUCCAUUGAAUGAAUGUCAUUAAAUGGAAAUAAUUACUCUUAUUAAAUCGUAGGCUUAUGUUAUGAGGGUUGAUUGUGUUAAUGGAAUGAAUACUAAACUACUAAAAAUCAUAAUUAUUUAAGCGACACACCUGUCUUAUGAACGUACUUACACUUAUACACACAACAUAGAUUUCCUUACUUUAGUCUAGGCCAUCAAAUAGUUUUUCCUAUUGUAUCUUUUAUCAUUUGCAGUGAAUGUAAAUUUGUGUUGUUGAUGCUUAGAGGCAAGACUGCACCUGGAAAUGAAGAUGAAAAAGUGAUACAUAGUAUAGAACUUAUUCUAACAUGUUUUGAGUAGAUGGUUGAGUCCUUUAAAUCCCCCAUGCUUAUGAUGUUCUAAUAUGUCUUUCAGAAUUUGUGCUGAUCGUCAAAUACCAGUCCUUCUGUAUCAUUUCACAACGUCAGUGCACCUUUGUUCUCCGUUGGCAAAAUCUUGAUGUCACCGAAUGUGUCUAUGCCAUUUGAUUGAGGUAAUUGAUUAUUCUUUCGACUAUAUUAACAUCUUUGGGUAUGGAGAGCGUUUCUGUGAAACAUCUUUGUUUCACCAUCUGAUAGCAUUGUAAUGUCUCAGCCAGUUGUGGUUUGAGACCGGAACCCUUUCCUCCAUUUUAUUAUAUUUAUCACUUGCACUGGAACAUUUCCUUCAACCAAAAUUAUAUACAUUAAAAAAAUCAUGAUUCUUCAGUCUUAUCUAAAUGACAUGAAUUCUUCUGUGGUGGUGGUCAAAAGAGAGUAACAAGAAUUCUCUACAUUGGGGUUUUACUUUCAAAGUUCUGAGAGCAGGUUUCGAGUAUUGAAAUCAAGUAUGAUGAUUUGAAUACUGCAUUUUUAUGGAUUCGUAGAACUAUCAAACUCUAAUUACUUAAACUCUAUCUUUCUUAAGUCUUAACUUAUUUUUCACCCUACACCAUUAGCUAAAGUUAAGAGGGCAGGUUUAGCCACAAUGAAGCAUGAUGCUUCCUGAAAACAUGGCCUAAAACAUGUCAUGAGGUGUAAUGAUUGGGACUUCAAUAUCAAUUUUUUUUUUUUUUUUUUUUUUGAUCGGCAAGCCUGUUUUAAUGAGAUCAGUAACUCAAAGAUGCACUGCCUGGGAUUGAACCCCAGACCUCUGGUAUCAUCACCCAGAGGUAUUACCAACUGGGCUCAGCUGGCAUCUUCAAUAUCAAUUAUUAGGACUUCUAAAAGGAAAAAUAAUAAAACGAAUUGAGCAGAUGCAAAAGAUCUGCCUUAGAUUACAGUCUUGGUCAUGCAGAGUCUUUUAAACCCCUUGCUCCCCCCAAAGAACACAAGUGAAUGAGCAUGUGGCUCAAUGGUAACACACCUCUCACAAAGUGGAGAAGUUGUGGGUUCGAAACACGUCAACAGCUGAUUGUUGAUAUAAGUUUCCACACGUAAUUUAAAAGGGGUAGGAGCCCCCUCAACCCCGCUUGCCUAUCAAAAAAAAAAAAAAAAGAACACACAACACGCACACGAAAACUUAUGUCAUGCAGACACUUUUGAGCUGUGUACAUAAUUAAAAGUCACACACACAAAUGCAUUAUUUCAGUUUGAGUUGUCUAAUAGCCGAUUUAUUUGUUUUGAGUAUUAUAUUAUUAUGGUGGAAGUACAAUCACGCUGUGCCUUCUUCAAGUGUUCCAAUUGGACUUUGUCUAACAGUACCUUGAGUGAUCAAAGUUGAUAUAUGAGAUCUAGGAAAGGACCACCGAAAAUGAGCCUCCAAUUGUUAAAUUCUAAAGAUGAAUAUCAAUGCCAGUCUGACUCUUUCUUCAUACUCUUUAGCAGGACUCUUAAUAACUUCUUUGAAUAUGGCAUGUGGGAGUCGAGUGCAAAUUACUUGAAGCAUGUCUUCAACCUUUAGUUUUAUACAAUCACACAGAUCUUUGAUGGAUGCGUACCUUUUAUGGCACCUAAUUCAUCUUGUACAAAAUCAAAUUGCACUGUUCUUCAGUUCAGUAAUGAUCACAAUUGCAUGGAUCAAUUCAGACUGAUAUUGACCGUAUGAUGUACAUGUUUUGUAUAUUUUGGAAGGAUGCAAUUAAAUCCCUGACCUAUCCACACUGCGUAUGCAAACCUGGAUUUCUUGCUAUUCUUGACGCUUGCAGAAUUUAUUCUGUUAUCAAUAAACUGAAUAAUUUCAUAGGCUUCAAUGCUUCGUUGAACAUCUGUAGGUGAAUUCUGCUAUUUUUUUUUUGUUAUAGCUACUUGGGAGCAUUUUUAACAAGGAGUACCAUUAACAGAGGAGAUAUUUUGA
rnacentral:lncRNA from 1 species